ACUAGGCAUGGUGGUGCGUGCCUGUAAUCCCAGCUACUCGGAAGUCUGAGGUGGGAGAAUUGCUUGAACCCAGGAGGUGGAGGUUGUAGUGAGCCAAGAUUGCGCCACUGCACUCCAGCCUGGGCGACAGAGCUAGACUCCACCUCAA
ensembl:misc_RNA Metazoa_SRP Metazoan signal recognition particle RNA